CGCCGGGCGAACCCAAGUCCCGCCCCCGCCGGGCGAAUCCAAGUCCCACCCCCGCCGCUUGCCCCCUCCAACCCCUUCUCCGAUACCCCCAAACCCCUCGAUAAACCCGAGUCCGGCCCUCAACUUCGGAGGCGUCCUCUUCCCCAGGACUCACAACAAUCGGAGCCCAAAAUCGCCGCCACCUCUUCCUACAAUCGGAACUCCGGUCCACCCCGCCGGGCCUCCCCUCCACUGCGCAGUUAUAUGGGCUGAUUGUUUUGAAAAAUAAACCUCAAGAAAAAGAUAAGGAGGUUCCUGUGACCAGCAUCUCGUUGCGAGCGAGAUUCGAGCCUCCUAGUCAUCACUCAUCGAACACCAUUUUGAGGAAAGGAGGAAAGACCUUCUGACCUCUUAAGAGAUCAGGGAUGCCUCCGAUUGCGGCAGACAAGGAAGAGUUAGAUAGGCUGUAUAACCAAGUAGCUGGAUCUGUCGUUCUACUUCUUCGGUCCAAAGAUGGUGACUCCGUUGAUUUUGGCACCGGAAUUGUCCUUUUUUCGGAUGAAAGUAGAGCAUUGAUUGGCGUAGAUAAAUCUCAAAUCAAGGAUGGCGAGACUAUUACAGUUCGGUUCCAUGACAGUACACAAAGCGUUGCGAGUGUCUUUUUGAAAAAGACAACACAAAAGCACGCGGUUCUACUAGUGUAUUCCACUGCUCGCCCUCCUCCUGUCAGGUUCAAUGUGUCUCCAACCACGAGGCAAGAUAUUUUCAUGCUUGGUGUGGUGGAAGAGGAUGAGACACUUGGUUUGAUGACUGGAACUGUCGGCAAUCCGAACUGCAGAGCUGUUGAUAGGGCAAGGAAUCAUAUUUAUCGAAGCGAGAGUACAUUUGCUGUGAGUUGCCCCAUGUCAGGACGAAGUUUGGUUCCAAACGAUAAGGAAAAGGUUGAAGAAACCAAGGAGAUUAUGCAAUUGAUUGGAGCGCCCGUGUUUGACAUGAGUGGUUUGGUUAUUGGUACAAUCGAUUGUGCUGAUCCGGAUUCGUAUAAUCUGAAAUUUGCAAUUAAAACCAUUUUUUUCUGGAUAAGCUGGAAAAGUUUUUAAAGGAUAAGGAUGAGCAGAUUUAUCUUUCAAGGGGUGAGGGAGGCACUGGAACGAGCGGGCAGGGUAGUUCCACUUCAGCACCGGAGAGUAAAAAGAGGGAACGUGCAGAUUCACCUCCAACAGGCUAUGCUUGAUUGUCAGCAGAAGAUCUACCUGCCUCACAAUGCAUCAACACAGGGCUUCGUUCUGCAUCAGCUUGGAACCACCAUCCUUCAAAGCAGCUUUGUCCUCCUCUCUCUGCAAACCUGCACAGUACAAAAUCAACAAGCACAUGACAGAGAUGAUUUAGGAAAAUUGUUCGAUCAAGGAUCAGAGCACUUAACACACAUGAUUUAGGUCAAAUGGUCUACCUUUAAAUGGCAACCACAAGAAAAACGAAAUUGCUUCAGCCAAGGAUCAAAACAGAACAGGAAACGAAUGACAAUACCUGAUUAAGGGAGCCUGAGUGCUGGCCCGUCCUAUGCUGCUGCUUGUUCCUGUACUGGUAGCUCUCUUCAGAUGCUGUUGAAGUAGUGCUAAUAGGGGCUAAGAUAUGUUUUGAGUGUGAGAAUCUCCAGCUGGUUUCCAAUUAGUGUGCCAACUUGCUCUCCUUCUUGCAUGUCUCCUGUAAUGAACUUUUUUUUUAUUUUUGUUAAGAAAUUAACGGAAAGGGGGUUAAGCCGGUUGGUUA